rnacentral:rRNA from 1 species
UGCUGGAGGUAUCAGAAGUGCGAAUGCUGACAUAAGUAACGAUAAAGCGGGUGAAAAGCCCGCUCGCCGGAAGACCAAGGGUUCCUGUCCAACGUUAAUCGGGGCAGGGUGAGUCGACCCCUAAGGCGAGGCCGAAAGGCGUAGUCGAUGGGAAACAGGUUAAUAUUCCUGUACUUGGUGUUACUGCGAAGGGGGGACGGAGAAGGCUAUGUCAGCCGGGCGACGGUUGUCCCGGUUUAAGCAUGUAGGCGGAGGUUCCAGGUAAAUCCGGUACCUUAUUAACGCUGAGGUGUGAUGACGAGGCACUACGGUGCUGAAGUGAUAAAUGCCCUGCUUCCAGGAAAAGCCUCUAAGCAUCAGGUAACACGAAAUCGUACCCCAAACCGACACAGGUGGUCAGGUAGAGAAUACCAAGGCGCUUGAGAGAACUCGGGUGAAGGAACUAGGCAAAAUGGUGCCGUAACUUCGGGAGAAGGCACGCUGAUAGGUAGGUGAAGUCCCUGCGGACGGAGCUGAAAUCAGUCGAAGAUACCAGCUGGCUGCAACUGUUUAUUAAAAACACAGCACUGUGCAAACACGAAAGUGGACGUAUACGGUGUGACGCCUGCCCGGUGCCGGAAGGUUAAUUGAUGGGGU